GCUGGGUGUGGUGGUGGGCGCCUGUAAUCCCAGCUACUCAGGAGGCUGAGGCAGGAGAAUCGCUUGAACCCGGGAGGCGGAGGUUGCAGUGAGCUGAGAUUGUGCCACUGCACUCCAGCCUGGGUGACAGAGCGAGACUCCGUCUCAA
ensembl:misc_RNA Metazoa_SRP Metazoan signal recognition particle RNA